AUUGAACGCUGGCGGAAUGCUUUACACAUGCAAGUCGAGCGGCAGCGCGGGGCAACCUGGCGGCGAGCGGCGAACGGGUGAGUAAUACAUCGGAACGUGCCCAGACGUGGGGGAUAGCCCGGCGAAAGCCGGAUUAAUACCGCAUGAGAUCUGAGGAUGAAAGCAGGGGACCUUCGGGCCUUGCGCGUUUGGAGCGGCCGAUGGCAGAUUAGGUAGUUGGUGAGGUAAAGGCUUACCAAGCCUGCGAUCUGUAGCUGGUCUGAGAGGAUGAUCAGCCACACUGGGACUGAGACACGGCCCAGACUCCUACGGGAGGCAGCAGUGGGGAAUUUUGGACAAUUGGGCGCAAGCCUGAUCCAGCCAUUCCGCGUGCAGGAUGAAGGCCCUCGGGUUGUAAACUGCUUUUGUACAGAACGAAAAGGGCCUGGCUAAUAUCUAGGUCUCAUGACGGUCUGAGAUAGCCCGCA
rnacentral:rRNA from 1 species